CCUACGGGGGGCAGCAGUGAGGAAUAUUGGUCAAUGGCCGGAAGGCUGAACCAGCCAUGCCGCGUGAAGGUCAGUGCCCUUUGGGCGUUAAACUUCUUUUGUGCGGGAGCAAUAAUGGUCACGUGUGGCCAGACGAGAGUACCGUACGAAUAAGCAUCGGCUAACUCCGUGCCAGCAGCCGCGGUAAUACGGGGGGGGCAAGCGUUAUCCGGCUUAAUUGGGAUUAAAGGGUGCGUAGGCUGUGAGGUACGUCAGCGGUGAAAUCCCCCGGCUCAACGGGUUGAGGGGCAUUGAUACUGCCUUGCUGGAAUGCGGAUGCCGUAGGAGGAAUGUGUGGUGUAGCGGUGAAAUGCAUAGAUAUCACACAGAACACCGAUUGCGAAGGCAUCUCACGAAUCCGCGAUUGACGCUGAUGCACGAAAGCGUGGGUAUCAAACAGGAUUAGAUACCCUUGUAGUC
rnacentral:rRNA from 1 species